rnacentral:rRNA from 1 species
UACAGAGGUCUCAAGCGUUGUUCGGAUUCAUUGGGCGUAAAGGGUGCGUAGGCGGCGCGGUAAGUCGGGUGUGAAAUUUCGAGGCUUAACUUCGAAACUGCAUUCGAUACUGCCGUGCUUGAGGACUGGAGAGGAGACUGGAAUUUACGGUGUAGCGGUGAAAUGCGUAGAUAUCGGAAGGAACAUCAGUGGCGAAGGCGACUUCCUGGACCAAUACUGACGCUCAGGUGCGCAAGCGUGGGGAGCAAACAGG